AGUGAACGCUGGCGGUAGGCCUAACACAUGCAAGUCGAACGGCAGCACAGUAAGAGCUUGCUCUUACGGGUGGCGAGUGGCGGACGGGUGAGGAAUACAUCGGAAUCUACUUUUUCGUGGGGGAUAACGUAGGGAAACUUACGCUAAUACCGCAUACGACCUACGGGUGAAAGCAGGGGAUCUUCGGACCUUGCGCGAUUGAAUGAGCCGAUGUCGGAUUAGCUAGUUGGCGGGGUAAAGGCCCACCAAGGCGACGAUCCGUAGCUGGUCUGAGAGGAUGAUCAGCCACACUGGAACUAAGAAACGGUCCAGACUCCUACGGGAGGCAGCAGUGGGGAAUAUUGGACAAUGGGCGAAAGCCUGAUCCAGCCAUACCGCGUGGGUGAAGAAGGCCUUCGGGUUGUAAAGCCCUUUUGUUGGGAAAGAAAAGCAGCAGGUUAAUACCCCGCUGUUCUGACGGUACCCAAAGAAUAAGCACCGGCUAACUUCGUG
rnacentral:rRNA from 1 species